rnacentral:tRNA from 1 species
UGGUUAGAGUGCCAAAUUGUGGCUUUGGAAGUCGUGGGUUCGAAUCCCAUUAUUC